GACGUAGGGCGCGAGCGUGUCCGGAAUUAUUGGGCGUAAAGAGCUCGUAGGCGGUUUGUCGCGUCUUGCUGUGAAACUGGAGGCUCAACCUCCAGCCUGCAGUGGGUACGGGCAGACUAGAGUGCGGUAGGGGAGAUUGGAAUUCCUGGUGUAAGCGGUGGAAUGCGCAGAUAUCAGGAGGAACACCGAUGGCGAAGGCAGAUCUC
rnacentral:rRNA from 1 species